UACGGAGGGUGCAAGCGUUAUCCGGAUUCACUGGGUUUAAAGGGUGCGUAGGCGGGUUGGUAAGUCCGUGGUGAAUCCCAAGCUUAACUUGGAACUGCCGUGGAUACUAUCAAUCUUGAAUAUCGUGGAGGUAAGCGGAAUAUGUCAUGUAGCGGUGAAAUGCUUAGAUAUGACAUAGAACACCAAUUGCGUAGGCAGCUUACUACACGAUCAUUGACGCUGAGGCACGAAAGCGUGGGAGCAAACAGG
rnacentral:rRNA from 1 species